CUAGAAACUUGAUAAAACAUCAUAUUGAUACUGUAUUUUGGUUGAAAGAUGGAAACUAGUUGUGCAAAUCCCCUGCCCUACUAUCUCAUAGUAGGGAGGAGAGUGUUCUGACUUGCUUGUAGUUUAUAUUUUGUUUAGAGCUCUCAGGGGCCUUGGAGUUGUAUCCUCUUGCAAAACAGGAACAGUUCUAUCAGUUCAUCCGUGAAAUGUACAUCUGUGCUGCAGGUACUUUUUUUUUUCUUCUCCAAGAGUAGCCAGUCUUUAAAUGCUAUUUUGCAUAAGCAAGGAGGUACGAUCAGUGUUUGACACCACAGUAGCUAAUGCUUACUGAAGCAGAUGAUUGGAGCCCGUGUUUUAGUUUCUUACAAGGUCAUUUACCCUUGCAGAGUUGGGAUAAUACUAUUUAGCCCUAUGCUUCUUGUUUCAUUGUUACAGUAAGGUCUAGACUAUGUCGUGUGUGGUGUGGGUGAAAUAACAAUUCCAGAUGCCUCGUUUCAGGAAGGAAAUGUCUGGGGAAAAGGAUAGGGAGAGAUGAUGAAAAAAAGAAAGAGUAAACUGAACAUGGUGAUUGAAUGGGGUGAUGCUGCAGUGAAAAUCCGUGCCUAUUUAUGUCAUCUUAAGUCACCAAGGGGGAUAUUUUCAUGAAAGGCCCCUUCUGCUUUUUUAUGUGGCACUGGGAACUUGUGUAUUCCCAGUGUUGUACUCUCUGGGUUCUUUGCUCAGUGCACAGGUGUAGAAAUCUGGAGGUGAAGUUGUAUAGCUCCAGUGAGUGGCUGCUCCUCUCAGAUUCAGGUCUGUGCUAGGGGCUGUCUCUCUCAAAUAACCCAGUGCAACCCAAGGGAGGCUCAGUGCCUUCAUUUGUGUCAGAGCUCAUCCACUUGUCUGUAAGAUUUCUGUGCUCUUGCACAGAGGGAAGGUUCUAAUAAGCUGUAGUGACAAACCUAACAUUACGGUACUUACGUAGGUCUUCCUUUCUGUAGCCUGUUGAUUGGAACCCGUUUGUUGAUUAGGCUAAAAGUGACACUGCUUCUUAUUGGUCGUGUUCAUUCUUUUUUCUUUACAGUAAUUUCUGCAAAAGGACUGAACUUAAUUUUUAGACCAAAAACUACCCCAUAAUUUGUGUCUGGAUCUCAGUUUAGCGAGAACACUUGGGUUUAUGCUUAAUGGAAUUAAUCAGCUUCUUGCUGCCUUUUUUGUAGUUAGAGAGACUUCAUUUGAUUCUUAAUAUUGUGGUUUUUAAUCGUUUAACAGCUCACCAGUGUCCACAAAAUUGCUUCCACUUUUAUUCACAGUAGCGCAAACAACAUGCAUUUGCUUUUCCAGCUGUGUCAUAGAAACAUUCAAGUUUUGAAUCAAAAGAUGUGAAGUAAAUGGGAGGCAUGGUACAGUUCACUUUUCACUCUGAGACACCUCUUUGGAUUGCAUCUCGGUCUCCCUGGAGACUCCAGUUGUCAUUAAGUCAUAAGCUAGCCUAGGGCCUUCCUCUGUUAAUUCUGUGCAGACAGAAUGGAAUUUCAGCUUCGUCGCCAAACAAGAUGCAUCGUGACUGUAGUCCAGUGUUUAGGAUGCUUAUUUAUAUCCAGUAAAGCUUAGCUUAGAGAGUUGUGGAAAAGAAUGCCAUCCUGGUCCCAGAGGAGAUGUUGAACACCAGCAUGAGGGUCAGGCCAUUUUGCAGUGGAAGCUGGGAAGAACAGGAAGGUAGAGUUAUAUCCCUUGACUUUAAACUUAAGUCCUCUGUCCCUUAGCAAAGGCAUAUGGGAUAUGAUGUGCUGACUACUUUAAACGCAAAAUGUAGGAUGCAAGGGUAGACAUUUGGUAACAAUUAGAAUUUUUCUUCAGACUGCUUUUCUUAAUUAAAAGAAGAAAAAGUAGUUUUAUAAGUGUUGUGAUCUUGUUGGGGGGAAUGUCUGUCCUCUUUGAAAAAAUACGGGUAAACAUAGCUUUCUGGAGAUAACUGCAUAAAAUAAAUGGGUUCCUUGCACAUCAAAGAGUUGAAGGGUAGGUGUGGUGUCCUGUCUGGGUUUUUUGGACAUAGGUGAGCUACAUGUCUGUGUUAUCUUUAGUAUUGUUAGCUUCAGAGUUGAAUGAGAGGCCAUGGGUUAGAUAAGCCAUCUGCAUAAUUAGAAGGAUAUGCUAUCUGUUGCAGAGAAAUAAAAAACCUAUGUUUGAGAAACUAUCUUAGACCUUUACAUGGGUACAUUUACCUUUGUAAGAGGUUUUGGUUUAGACUGUAUUUAUGAUUAGUAGUAGCACUUUUUGAGUAUGUUAAUAAAGUGGUUUAUUGAAUUCAUCCCAGGUAUUACUGUGGGAAAAGAGAAAGUGUGUAGCAGAACGAUGAGCCUUGUUUUCAGAAGAAUGGACUUCAGCUUCUUGAGUGAGCUUGUAGAUGCCCAUGGGAGACAGCUAUGGAAGCAGCAUAAACAUCUUCAAAGAAGAUUCAAAAUAAAAUGAUGGAAACAACAGGAAAGCCACAAGGCAAAAAAGCAAGAAGCCAAAAUUGCAGAACUGAAAUAAAAAGCAGUAGUGUCUGGACUUUUGAUUGCUACACAGGAAUCCCAACUGACUGCUGUUUGGAUAGCAAGAGGCCAGUUCUGCACUGCCUGCCAGAUUGCCCGCAUUGAAGAGAACCUCAACAUUUCUGCUGCCAGUUCAGGUCAAAAUUUUUGGCUGGCAAGAGAAGGAAAUCUUGAAAGAAAAUGUUUAGGUCAGACUCAUGUGUUUGAGUUUUAAGAUGUUCUGCCUGGCAUUCUCAUUUUUUUUCCCAGCCUCUGUUAUUUUAUAUAGCUGUAUAGAUUUCAAUAGAUUUAUCAAAAUGGUAGAUUUUUAAUUGGAAAAAAUGAGUGACUGGCUACUUGUGGUUAAAAGAGUAGAUUCUUAUGUAGUUUUGUUUCACAAUUCUUUUAUAAUAAACUUCUAUAAAAUAUGCAUGAUGAAGUGUCAGUACAUAUACUUAAUUUGACUUAAAAGACAGAAGGCAGAUGAGUUUGAUGUUGUAUUAAUGAUAUGCUGUCUGGGAGUGGUUAUGGCUAAAUAAAAAUAUGUUCUAUUAGUAUGGGAGUGUGAAUCUUCAACCCCCAAACUUCAGGUUGAAUCUGAGUCCUGUUGUAUCUUUUUGAAUAUAGAAUAUUUAGAAAAGCUGGCUCCUAAUUUGCUUAUAUUGAGGAAAAAGAGGAAACAAAGAUGUACACACAAUGUAAAUAUACUUGCCAAUAUUGUAAAUUGUGCUGCAAAGAUUUACAAAGUUUUUUGGUGAGUUGGUAUUAUGAUGUAAUGAAAUAGGGAAAAUUAUUAUGUCCUCUGUCACCUGGAUUUUUCUGUCUUUUGAACUUCAAAUGCAGGAGGCUGCAUAGUUUACCUGUAUUAACGAAUUGAAAAAUUACAGUAUUUGGUGGGUGCAGGUGUUUAAAACUUUCUUCACUGCCAUGGCAGAACUGACCUGUGGCAGUUCCCUAGAUAAUCCAGACACUUGUGUCCAGCAACUAAAAUUCUUGCCUCUGUUCUUGCCCCAAAUAAAGUAAGUUUUUGAUGGCUAGCACUACAUUUUUCUAACUCAUUGAGAUCAUUCUUAACCUUCAUACAGUUCCCAUUUUGAAGAACACUGGGACAGAUUUAAAACCAAAAUAACUUUUAAUCAGUAUUUCACAAGGAAAUACUUUAUUAGUUGUUUAUCUUGAGCUGCUAAAAUUUAUGAAAUGAACUGGAUCUGAUGUGUGCCAGAGAUAAGGUUGUGACAAAAUGAGGUAGAAAAAAUUAAUACAUUAUAAAAAGUUAAUGUAAAUGGAACAGUGUGUAACUGAACAAAAUAGAAUAAAAAAGACGAGGAGAGUCACAUCUCAUAAUUACGUAGUGUAGCAAAAAUUUCAAGAUGGAAAAUGGGAUGAUGGGAAAUGGAGACUGAGAGAUGGGAAAUUAAAUAAAUAUGGCUUACUGAACUGGACUUGCAGUCUAGAUAUUAGAGUAUUAAUGUAAGUAUAAUUUUUAUGUAUAUUUUAUUGAAGUAUUUUUCAGAUGUUCUUAAUGAAUGUUUUGCCUUUGAAACUUACACUGGUUUCAGUGGGAACCACAUUCAGCUCUCCCUGAUCUUCUAAAAAUUCCUUAUGUGCUGUCUGGCCAUACCAGGGCAUAUUGAAAUACAAAGUUCUUGUCUUAAUAAAAAACACAUUGGUAUCAACA